GCCUGUUCUUUCCCUAAAACAGUGCCAAGGGCAACACCACGUCUCUUACCAGGGUCUGCAUGACAGGACAGAGGGAAACAAAUUCAUUCUUCAAAUGAAAAGAAGGUUCAUCUCAAACACCUCCUCACCUGACAUCACUCCCAAAUACUUCUAUGUUUUAUCCCAAUGUCCCCAGCUGGUGUUGAGGGUUUGAACUGCACACCAUUAUGAAGAAAUUCUUCAGAUAUUGUUCUCAGAGAUGCCAUGACAUGCUAGCUGUAGAGGAAUUGGUACUGAAGGAAUGGAGAGGCAGAAUGGAAUGGAAUGGAAUGGAAUGGAACGGAACGGAAC
ensembl:lncRNA